UGAGAAUGCUGAGACAAACUUUAUUUUGGGCAAGCCCUAUUUAUACACAAUCUCUCCGCCCAGAACCUCCCCUGGGGUUUUCCAGGGGCUUUCCGCAGGGACUUUCCACAGCACGUUGCUUAUCUGUGCCUGAGGCUAUCACGUGCAGUCCACGCACCGCCGCGUCAGCUUCAUGAGCAGUCCAUGCACUCCACUGAUUCGUCUGGGUAUUCACGACUCAGCCCUAUGGCCUAGCCUGGCCUACUGAGCCCAGGGCUUGUUCAGUAUCAAGGUCUCGCUGCUUCUGUUCAAUGGACUGCUCAAGCUUGUCAUGCUGAUGCCACCUCUUCCCACAUCUCCCCCUUCUUUGUUUUGCACAUUCACCACCAUCACCUGUUUAAGAGCUUGAUCAAUAAGAGAUUGUAUAAGUUUGAUUACACAGGGGAUACAUAUUAACAAGCUAAGAAAUAUUAAUAAGUGCUCCUACUAAAAUUAAUUUUUUGGUCCACAACCCUAAUCCAGCAAAUGAACCUGAAGAACGAUUCCAAUCAUCCUCAACCUGAAGUUUCUCUAUAAGUUGUUUAAGAAGUUGUAUACUUUGAUGAACCGAUUCAGAGUGAUCUGAAAGGUUCAUACAACACAUGCCGUCAAAAUCCUCACAUCCAUAACCAUAAGCAAGGAGGAGGAAAUCUGUGGCCGCUCGAUUCUAUAGGGUUGCAUGUCUUAUGGAGUCUACAUCAAGGAGGAGACCGGAAAGGGCAUCAGAGGUAGCAUUUGUUUGUUUUGCUAGCCAACAACCUAAUUUAUUUAAAGCUGCCAGAGCUUGCGCAGCGGCUACCCCUGGGGUAAGAAAAGAUGCUGUAAUUAUACUGGUGGGGUUCCAAAAUGUGACAUCAUCAGAACAGUCAGAAUUAAAAGCAUGAGUGGUCCUUUUUAAUCUGUGGAGAUGAUGGGCUCUAGUAUGAUUCAAUAUCACAGAGAUAUUUGGAGACAAUAUUGCCAGUCUUCCCAGGCUACAGGGGCCUCCUCGUAUAUGUGACGGAAUGCCAGGCCAUGCCCGAUCUCCUCAGAUUAAAAAGAUGCCUUGAGGGAGUGAUACUGGUGUGUUAGAAGAUUUAGAUAUAUUAGUAGAUGUAUAGCUACACCACACAGAUUCAUUUCAAUAGACAGAUAAAGAUGAAUUAACAUUCUGAACUAACGAUUGGUUUUGCCCUGCAUAAUUGAAAAAUAAACACAUAUCUACUUUCACAGAUCCUAACAAAUCAACUUCUUGAGGCUCUAAAAAGGUUGUCAGCCGAUGCGCCAUCUAGCAUCCCAGGUGUCCACAGGUUGUCCACCUCCCAUGGAUGUGUUGUUGAGACAUGUCCAUUUGUCCAAUGGCAAUCCCACCAGACACGUGCUAAACGGGUUCAUAGGUGUUGCAACAGACAGACACACAGUGUCUUGUCCGGUCGCAUUAGCCAAUGUCACCCAGAUGUUUUCUUUCGGCUGGUUGGGGAUCCAUGGCAUGGUCAGUCCUUCUGCGAUGAGGAGGCAGAGGACAAGGCUGGAUGGACCCAUCAUGCAGGAACCCAACGAGGUCCUUUAUCUGUGGAAACACAAGCACAGCCUCGUCCCCAGGUUGUUAAAGGGAAUGGGCCUUCCCAUUCUUGAGUUUCACAAUCACAAAUUUUAACACAGGCUUUUCCUGUUUUGACAUCCUGAGAGCCACCAAAAUGGCGUUCUAUAGGAGACCUAUCAUUUUCAAUGCGGUUCAAAAAAUUAAGAACAUAAAGAGCUUUUUGUAUUCGUUCAUAGGGUGCGUAUCCCCUACUCCCCCUUCUUUGUUUCAUUAACAUAGUCUUGAGGGUGCUAUGUGCACGUUCGAUAAUGGCUUGGCCCAUGGGAGAGUGUGGGAUACCUGUAAUAUGUUUGAUACCCCAUUGUUGAAAAAAUGCUAAGGUAGUUUUGGCUGUAUAUCUAGGUCCAUUGUCAGUUUUCACUUGAGCAGGGACCCCUAGAGUGCCAAAUGCUGCCAUAAAGUGGUGUUCGACAUCUCGUGCCUUUUCGUCGGCAUGGGCCGACGCAAAAAUGCAGGCAGAGUAUGUAUCGAUUGACACAUGUAUAUAUUUCAAUUGUCCAAACUCAGCAACAUGUGUUACAUUCAUUUGCCAUAACUCCAAGGGGCCCAAGCCACGGGAGAAGAAAACUGGUAAUCAGGGCAUGUCUGGAUGAGUUGUUGGGCUCGCUCAUGAGUGAGGCAAAAAGUUCGCCUUAAAGCAUUUGCACUUUGAUGAAAAAACUCAUGAGAAAUCCGAGCUUGCUGAAAUAAAUUUGGGACAUGUACUGCUCCCAUUAGUGAGUCAGUAACCCUGUUCCCCUCUGUAAUUGGUCCUGGUAGGCUUGUGUGUGACCGGACAUGUACUACAAAAUAAUGAGCAUUGCGAUGAUUCAACAAAUAUUGCAGUUCUCUGAGCAAUGCAAAAAGGUGGGGGUUGGUCACCUCCUUUAAAUAUGACCCUUCAAGGCGCAUAACGAUGCCAGCAACAUCAGCCAGGUCAGUGACUAUACUGAAUGCCUGCUUAAAAAGCUGAAAACAGCGCACGACCACUGUUAGUUCAACAAUUUGGGGAGAACCUGAGAUUGUUUUGAUGCUACUCUGCCAUUGGUCAUGAACAUCUUUCCAUGUAAUGACUGAUUUCCCUGUUUUGCCCGACCCACCUGUGAAUAAGGUCAAUGUUCCAGGUACAGGUGUGGGACUCAACCAUAAAUCCGGUGCCAAACCUAUAUGGCCUGAAGACGUGAAAUGUUGAUGUUGAGGAAAAUGAAUGUCGAUCCUCCCUGGAGAGACAGCUAGGGAAAGCUGGAAAGACUGGCUAGUUUGUAAGAGCCAAUCCACUUGCUGCUGUGUUAUCGCUAAAUAGAUACGUUGUGGUUCAUGACCUAUCAGGGCCAUCAGGCGGGAUCGGCCCCGUUCAAUGACCAUUGUCAAAAGUUCUUGUCUUGUUGUUACGGUUUUUGUGAAUUGGUGAGGUAAAAAAAUCCACUCUAAGAUAAUUAAUGGGUCUCUAUCUGUCGAGGACCACUGCCCUAAAAGGCCAAAGGGUUGAAAUGUUGAAAAUAAAACAUAAAGGUAAAUAGACAGUUUGUCCUUUAUGUGCUGAGCUCGUCGUUUCAUGAUUGCUGUAGAGAUUCGUUCAAGGGUGAGUUUCACUGAUGGAGUGAGUUGCCUGGAUGAUGUCAAAUCCAGAUCAUCCUUCAGCAGACAGAACAACGAAUGUAGUUCUUCUGUCAUGAUGCCUAACAAUGGGCGGAGCCAACUGACUACACCUAAUAAUUUUUGGAGGUUGUUAAGAGUGUUUAUAUGAGGUGCAAGCUUGACUUUCUGAGGCACAAUAGUUUCAUCUUGAAUUUUCCAUCCAAGAUAUUGCCAAGGUGCAAGUCUCUGAACUUUUUCUUGUGCUAUACAUAAUCCAGCUGUGGUUACAGCUGUAGUGACAUCUGUUAAGAUUUUAUCAGCCUCUGUUUUUUCCUUAGAAGCAAUAAGAAUAUCGUCCAUACAAUGAUAGAUCAACGACUGAGUAUGGGCUGUUCUUAUUCCAGCUAAGGCUUUGGCCACAUACCAUUGAUAAAUGGUAGGGCUGUUACACAUGCCUUGGGGUAGCACGGUCCAAUGAUAUCUGUCAUGAGGUGCUGCUGCAUUGAUGGAGGGCACUGAAAAGGCAAAUCGAGGUGCAUCUUUGGGAUGUAAAGGUAUAGUGAAAAAACAGUCUUUUAAGUCUACAACAAUUAACGUCCAGUUUUUAGGCAACACGGUAGGUGAAGGGAGUCCAGGCUGCAACGCUCCCAUAGGCUUGAUUACUUCACUGGUAUGUCAUAAAUCCUGUAACAAUCUCCAUUUUGCGCUCUUCUUCCAGAUUACAAACACCGGGGUGUUCCAUGGACUGGUGGAUGGAACUAUAUGUCCAGCCUGCAAUUGUUCUUUUACGAGAUCAUGUAGGUGAUGCAGCUUCUCCUUUGAAAAGGGCCA
ensembl:lncRNA